ACGAAGUGAGUGGCGGACGGGUGAGUAACACGUGGGUAACCUGCCCAGAAGCAGGGGAUAACACCUGGAAACAGAUGCUAAUACCGUAUAACAGAGAAAACCGCCUGGUUUUCUUUUAAAAGAUGGCUCUGCUAUCACUUCUGGAUGGACCCGCGGCGCAUUAGCUAGUUGGUGAGGUAACGGCUCACCAAGGCGAUGAUGCGUAGCCGACCUGAGAGGGUAAUCGGCCACAUUGGGACUGAGACACGGCCCAGACUCCUACGGGAGGCAGCAGUAGGGAAUCUUCCACAAUGGACGCAAGUCUGAUGGAGCAACGCCGCGUGAGUGAAGAAGGGUUUCGGCUCGUAAAGCUCUGUUGUUAAAGAAGAACGUGGGUGAGAGUAACUGUUCACCCAGUGACGGUAUUUAACCAGAAAGCCACGGCUAACUACGUGCCAGCAGCCGCGGUAAUACGUAGGUGGCAAGCGUUAUCCGGAUUUAUUGGGCGUAAAGCGAGCGCAGGCGGUCUUUUAAGUCUAAUGUGAAAGCCUUCGGCUCAACCGAAGAAGUGCAUUGGAAACUGGGAGACUUGAGUGCAGAAGAGGACAGUGGAACUCCAUGUGUAGCGGUGAAAUGCGUAGAUAUAUGGAAGAACACCAGUGGCGAAGGCGGCUGUCUGGUCUGUAACUGACGCUGAGGCUCGAAAGCAUGGGUAGCGAACAGGAUUAGAUACCCUGGUAGUCCAUGCCGUAAACGAUGAUUACUAAGUGUUGGAGGGUUUCCGCCCUUCAGUGCUGCAGCUAACGCAUUAAGUAAUCCGCCUGGGGAGUACGACCGCAAGGUUGAAACUCAAAAGAAUUGACGGGGGCCCGCACAAGCGGUGGAGCAUGUGGUUUAAUUCGAAGCUACGCGAAGAACCUUACCAGGUCUUGACAUCUUCUGCCAACCUAAGAGAUUAGGCGUUCCCUUCGGGGACAGAAUGACAGGUGGUGCAUGGUUGUCGUCAGCUCGUGUCGUGAGAUGUUGGGUUAAGUCCCGCAACGAGCGCAACCCUUAUUACUAGUUGCCAGCAUUCAGUUGGGCACUCUAGUGAGACUGCCGGUGACAAACCGGAGGAAGGUGGGGACGACGUCAAAUCAUCAUGCCCCUUAUGACCUGGGCUACACACGUGCUACAAUGGAUGGUACAACGAGUCGCGAAACCGCGAGGUUUAGCUAAUCUCUUAAAACCAUUCUCAGUUCGGACUGUAGGCUGCAACUCGCCUACACGAAGUCGGAAUCGCUAGUAAUCGCGGAUCAGCAUGCCGCGGUGAAUACGUUCCCGGGCCUUGUACACACCGCCC
rnacentral:rRNA from 1 species